UGGGGAAUAUUGGACAAUGGGCGAAAGCCUGAUCCAGCCAUGCCGCGUGUGUGAAGAAGGUCUUCGGAUUGUAAAGCACUUUAAGUUGGGAGGAAGGGCAGUAAGCGAAUACCUUGCUGUUUUGACGUUACCGACAGAAUAAGCACCGGCUAACUCUGUGCCAGCAGCCGCGGUAAUACAGAGGGUGCAAGCGUUAAUCGGAAUUACUGGGCGUAAAGCGCGCGUAGGUGGUUCGUUAAGUUGAAUGUGAAAGCCACGGGGUGAACCUGGGAACUGCAUCCAAAACUGGCGAGCUAGAGUAGGGCAGAGGGUGGUGGAAUGACCUGUGUAGCGGUGAAAUGCGUAGAUAAAGGAAGGAACACCAGUGGCGAAGGCGACCACCUGGGCUCAUACUGACACUGAGGUGCGAAAGCGUGGGGAGCAAACAGG
rnacentral:rRNA from 1 species